GGCGCCCGUCUCGGGGGCAGGUCCGCGGGGUGUGACGAAUGUUCCCGCGGCGUCUCCCCGCCCUCCCCGGCGCCUCCCCCGGCCUCGGGCAGCCGCUUUCUGCACGGCACCUCCGAAGCCGCUGGGCGUCUGUAACCAACCUGCACGUUGUGCGCAUGUGCCCCAGAAAUUAAAGUAGAAUAAACAACAACAAAACCAAAAGACCUUUUUACUUUGACGCAGUUUUAGAUUCCCAGGACGUUGCACAGAAAAUCCGGACGGAUCCUGUGCCCUCCGCCCAGCUCCCGGGGUCACAGGCAGCCUCGGCUCCGACCCCGCCGGGCGCGCGGUGACCGGCUGUGCGGGUUCCAGGGGCGGAUGUGCGCUUUGCCCGGCCCCUCUCCCGCCGCGCGGCCGCUCCUCCUCUCCGCCAAGGGCCGGUUCAGGCACAGGCCCCGCCGAGGCUGCCCCUGACUUGAGGGCUCACGCACCGGGCUGCUUGCGGCUCUGGACUAUUGUGAAUAAGGCCGGUGUGAGUAUUUUACUGUAAGUCUUUGGGGACGUGUCUUCAUGCCCCUUGGGUGAAUCCAGGUGUGAGAUUGCCGGGCCGGGGUGCUGUGAGUUACCUUUGGUUAUAGGGAGGUGGUGACCCAUGGUGGCUCCAAGUGCCCGUGGCCUUUCGUGACCCCGCCAGCAGCGGGUGGGCCUUUGGGGCGCUCCGAGGCUCGCCCGUGCUGCCCGUGGGUGCUUCAGCCAGUCCGGCCGCCGUGGCUUUCCUCUGCAGCCCCCGGUGCCUGCUGGCGUCGUGCCUUUCCGUGUGCUCGUUGGCCACGCACAUGUCGAGGGGCCGUUCUGACGAUGGACUGAGGGGCUCGGGGAUAGCACGUGUCCAGCGGGGCAGGUCAGCCUUUCUCUUCUCCCCACAGACCUCAGCACAGCUCUGCACCUCGGAGGACUCGGGGAAGUUUCUGGGCCUAUUUGGGCAAUAGGAGAAGGUCAUGGGCUGUCUUUCCAAAAUUCACGUCCACCCAGAACCCCCGAAUGAGACCUAUUUAAAGAGAAGGCCUUAGCUGAUGGAACAUUAAGAUGAGGCCACCCUGGAGCAGGGUGGGCCCUGAAUCCGAGGCUGCUGUCCCUGCAAGGUGACGAGAGGGUGCAGGCGUGGAGGAGACACAUGGGGGUGGGGUGAGGAACAGGCCACCGGCAGCAGAGACGGGUCAGGCCCAGCGAGGGAGGAGGUGGGAGGAGCCCCGGAGCCCUCGGAGGAAGCCGGGCUGGCACCUGGGCCUUGGACUCUGGGACUGUGAGGGAAUCAAUUCUGCCAUCUGAAGCCACCUGCUGUGGUCCUGUGUUACAGCAGCGCUGGGCACAAACAUGGGAGGGCCUCGUGAUUGGGACUGGGGCAUUCACAGGCCCGGCAGGCUGGUGAGCCGGUGCCUGGCAGGUGGGGAGGACAUGGUGUGAGAGGCGGCCUGCGGGCCGGCCAGUGAGCUCCAGCACGGGGACUGGUCACCAGCCAGUGAGCUCCAGCACGGGGACUGGUCACCGGACAGCAGUGUCAGCGUGGACGGUGAUCCCUCUAGAAGCCCUCCUUGUGUCUCGGGCCGGAAGCUAGGCACUGCACGCGCUCGGGAAUGGGCCGCUGCUGUGAGGGAGAGCGCCCGCUGUGCAGUGGGUGUCAAAUGAAUAUUAAUAAACAAAAGAGCCAAUUAUCCUUCGUUGCAGACAAGUUUCUUUGCAGAAAAUUUAGGAAAUACAAGAAGCAAAUAAAAAAAUCAAAACCACCCAGGAAUAUAACAGUUAUGAUGUGCUUUUUUCCUAAUCUUCAAAGCAAAGCUUUGGAGCCUGUAUUAUUUCUUGUUUGAAUUAAAUGCAGUUCAGAAGGAGAAAGUAAUUUCCCCAAAGCUGCCCAGUGAGGAGAGGGCGCCCAGGUGUGUCUGCUGCUGCCCCUCUCUGCAGACCCCAGAGCUGUCCCUGCAGCCCUCUCAGAGGGGGCCCCCGCCCUGGAGUCUGCCCUUCACCUUCCCCUUGCUUCGACCAGAGCUAAACUUGCCUGUGAUGACGAGGGAGUGUUUGGGAGACCCCCACGCUCUGUGUGGUUGGGCCCCUGGUCAACACCAGCCCGGCCUGCACCCCUGCUGGGGCCCUUCGAGGCUGCCCCGCUCCUGGGGACAGGCCCCCCCCGCAUGCUGCUUCCUGUAGGACCCACUCUUGAAGUCGGUCUGAGCCAUAAAUGAGACUCAUCAGGCAAUGGGCAUUUUUAUUAGAGGCAAAAUUAAAUUCGGAUGCCCAGGAUCUCUAUCAAGAGCAGAGAAAGGAGAAGAAUGACGUGUGUAUUUGUUCACUGCUUCCACCAGGAGCGCCUGCUCCCGCACCGGCCGCUCCGAGCCCCGGUCAUCGGGCUGGGGGAGUGCCUGCACCCGUACUGGCUGCUCCGAGCCCCUGUCGUCGGGCUGGGGGAGUGCCUGCUCCUGUACCGGCCGCUCCGAGCCCCGGUCGUCAGGUGCCAAUGAACCAUGUCAAACAGAUGACGUGGAUUUUUCUGAAUCUGCUGCAGAGCCAGAUUUUAAUUGAAUCAAUGGGAGAAGCAGGCCUGCUAUUAAGUUUUAUUAAAUUCUAUUUGCUUGUAUCCUUGCCAUUUAAAACAUGACUGUUUAAAAAGAAAAAAAUACUGGGCAGCCAGGCAGGGUUGAAGGUCGCAGGUUUGGGGUCACAUGGAUCUGGGUGGGACCCCCUGGGUCGGCCUCUGUGAUGCGUGUGUCUUGUAUGGAGUCAUUUUACUCCUCCGAGCCUCUGUUUCUCCUUAAGUGGGCACAGGAGUGCUCAGUACUACUUAAGGUAUUUGAAGAAUUAAAUGGGAUUAAAAUUUCAGCCGUAUAUAAACAUCUUCCUCCCUCCCUCGUCCUCCUCCUGUGUCCUCCCUCGUCCUCCUCCUGUGUCCUCCCUCAUCCUCCUCCUGUGUCCUCCCUCAUCCUCCUCUGUCCUCCCUCCUCCUCCUCCUCUAAGGAGAAGAGAAUGGUUGGCAGCAGUUUUCCCGAGUACCUGGGACAGGAGCUGGCGUUUCUGUAGACCUUUGCUCUGAAAGGAAUCUCUUGUGCGUCCUGUCUUAGUCACAUCUGUUGGACUGGGGGCGUGCUCUGCGUCUCGGUCGCGUCCGUCGGACUGGGGAGGUGCUCUGCGUGUCUCGGUCGCGUCCGUCGGACUGGGGAGGUGCUCUGCGUGUCUCGGUCGCGUCCGUCGGACUGGGGAGGUGCUCUGCGUGUCUCGGUCGCGUCCGUCGGACUGGGGAGGUUCUCUGCGUGUCUCGGUCGCGUCCGUCGGACUGGGGAGGUGCUCUGCGUCUGGGGGUUUUGGGAGAGCAAGUUGGGGGUGUGCUGGCCAGUGUCUGACAAUAGGCUGUUGGAAGCGCAGCCGUGGCGUGUAGCAUUGCCAAUCAUAGUGUCUGUAUCUCUGUCUGUCUCUCCACCACGGACCGUUCCAGGCGACCAACACGCAGUCUCCAAGCUUGGAGUUGCCUGCUGUAGGCCCCCCACCGACUGCCGGAACCCCAGCUCCCAGCCCUUCCAGCCUGUGGGUGUUGGUAGGCGGUUUCGGCAGUUGUGAGCCUGGUCAAAGCCUCAGCUCUUCCCUCACUUGGGCAAUCGGUCCUCCAUAUUAAAUCCCUUUUGUUUGACUGGUUGGAUCCCACCUGAUACAAUUGGGGUGGCCCCAACCAAGGACCUAUGGUUACAAAACAGGACACAGAAGUCCAUGAGGAGGAGUGAUUGUGCCUUACAGGAAGGGACGUAUCCACAUGUGUCAAAGGGUUUAGGGGAUCACGGUGGCUUCAGCACAGCCCACGGACGGCACAGCCUACAGAUGGCACAGCCCACGGACUGCACUGCACGUUUUCCUGAGCCCAGGGACUGUGCUGGGGUCAGGGCAAAUGCAUGUCUCCAUCCGUUUGGCAUUUUGCUAUUCAUAUAAAGGAACAUCUGAGACAGGGUAAUUCGUGAAGAAAAGGGGUGUAAGUGGCUCACGGGCCUGCAGGCUCUACAGGAAGCCUGGCACCAACAUCUGCUUCCGGGAAGGCCUCAGGGAGCUUCUUCUCAGAGCAGAGGGGACGUGGUGAGGGAGGGAGCAGGGAGGGCAGUGCCAGGACCCUUCUAACAACCAGCUCCCUCAGGAACUACUAGAGUGGAUGUUAGUUACCAUGAGGACAGUGCUGGACUGUUCAUGAGGGAUCCACCCGUGACCCAAACACGUCCCAGCAGGCACCACCUCCAUGUUGGUUAAAUUUCUACCUGAAAUUUGGAGGGGACAAACAUCCAAUCUACAUCAGCAUGUCACUGUGACUUAAACAGUAUGGUUGGUUCCCAUGUGGGGCACCCCUCUGAGGCAGGCGUGAGAGUCUAGGCCAGCAAGGACAUCCUGGUGGCCACGGCCGAGUGUUGGCCAUGCAGCCGUGCAGGGACCAUCUUCAACAGCGACACCGUGUGGCAGCAGAUGCAAAGGCAGCAGCGGACGUUGGGACAUCUCCAGCUCUGCCCCACCCAUGCAAGGGUGGGGAGCUCUUUGGAUUACAUGAUCUCUAGGAUUCGUGGGUACUUUCUCCAGAACAGGGGCAGUUCUCAAGAGGCGUGUGGCCACUUAGGCAGGUAAGGACAGAGGGGAAUAGUCAGGGAAAUAAGGACACUUGGAGGUGUAUUUGGUGAAGCAGAGUGUUUGGCAAGUCAAAGUCAUGCCUGUUGAAGAGUCUCCUGUCCGGACAGCGUGGACAGCACCUCACCUCCGCUGCCCUGCAGGGAUCUGCCAUCCCAGGUGCUCCCCUCGGGACUCCUCCUGGUGCCAGGGAGGAGGGGCUGGGCCAGGUGAGGCGGAGCAGCCAUAGGCUUCCCUCAGUGGGAGGGAACACUCACCUCCCUGAAGGGUGGGAGUUCUACUGAGGAUUCGAGAGUAAUUUUCCAGGUGUCAGGUUUUCUGUGGGAUCCUGUGUGGGCUAUGAACCAGCCAGCUUUGACUUGCCUGUCAAUUUGCCUAAUGAAUUGGUGUGUGAGCGAGCCGAGUUUGCACCUGCCAUCCUCUUGGUCUAAACUACAGGCACUGCACGUUGCAAGAUAAGGGACGUUGCACAUCCUUCACCUGGGAAACUUCUGGACUCCUAACUUCACCUGGGAAACUUCUGGACUCCUGUGAGUCUGGCUGGGGGUGGGGGGGGUCCCUGGCAAGCCACUCACUUUUGGGGCCUCACUCACUGCCCGUGUUUUGCCUCCAUGAUCUUAGAAUUUUGGCAAGAUCUGGACUAGACAGAGGGCUGAGGCUUGGGCUGGGGUUGGGAGAAUUCUCUGCUGAGAACAGAGAAACUGGGACCCCUCAGGGCUUCUUACAGGAACAGGAAGCAACGACUGGGGAGUCCCAGAGGAAGGCGUUGAGCAGAGGGGCCGUGUGGUGGGUGGGCACCCCAGCAGGCAGGGUGCUGGGGGAGGAACAUGAGCCCCUGCGGGCUUUGGAAAGAGCAGUGAAGUACAGCCCCAUUGCCUCUGCCCAGGGCUAGCGGAAAGUGAAGUGUUCCCAGCCCCAUUGCCUCUGCCCAGGGCUAGCGGAAAGUGAAGUGUUCCCAGCCCCAUUGCCUCUGCCCAGGGCUAGCGGACAGUGACGUGUCCCCGCAGGCUGAACUCCGACUGGUGACAACGGGUCAGCGUCCUCACUCCCUGGAGACUCGGAGCCUGGACUUGCCAAAUUUGGCACCUGCCCAUUUUUUUUUUUUUUCUUUGAGAUGGAGUAUCACUCUGUUGCCCAGGCUGGAGUGCUGUGGCUCGAUCUCGGCUCACUGCAACCUCCACCUCCCAGGUUCAAGCUAUAUUCUGCCUCAGCCUGCUGAGUAGCUGGGAUUACAGGUGCCUGCCACCAUGCCCAGCUAAUUUUUGUAUUUUUAGUAGAGAUGGGAUUUCACCUUAGCCAGGAUGGUCUCAAUCUCCUGACCUCAGAUGAUCCACCCACCUCAGCCUCCCAAAGUGCUGGGAUUAUAGGCGUGAACCACCGUGCCUGGCCUUUUAAAAAAAAAAUUUUAGAUUCAUGGGUACAUGUGUGGGUUUGUUAUGUGGGUAUAUAGCUUGAUGCUGAGGUUUUGGCUUCUAACGAUCCCAUCACCCAGGGAGUGAACGCAGCUCCCAACAGGUGGUUUUCCAGCCCUCGUCCUCGUCCUCCUCCCCCUCCCACCUGCCCCUCUGGAGUCCCUGGCGUCUGCUAUUCCCUCUCUGCGUCAUGUGCAUGCAGCAUUCAGCUCCCAUGGAUAAGUGAGAACACGUGGUUUUGGUUUUCUGUUCGGGUUGAGUUCUCAGGCUGACGGCCUCCAGCUGCAUGUGUGGCUGCAGGGGACGUGCUCUCCUCCAUUUUCCCGGCUGCAUCGAGUUCAUGGUCUGUCUGCACACGUGAGGCCACCUGCCAGGCCACAUCCCAGCACAGGCGUCAUCCAGUGAUUUCCUCAUCGGCCAGAGUCUGCGUCUGCAGCUUUGUGAGCCACGCGGCCAUGGCCUGACUCUGUGCCGAGAGCCCCGCAGCGGUGGCCACAGACAAUAGAUGGAGUGCACUGGUGUGAUCUCAGCUCAACCUCCGCAUCCCAGGCUCAGGUGAUCCUCCUGCCUCAGCCUCCCGAGCAGCUGGGAAUACGGGCAUGCCCCACCAUGCCCGGCUAAUUUUUGUAUUUUUUGUAGCGACAGGGUUUCGCCACGCUGCCCAGACUGGUCUCAAUUCCUGGGCUUAAGUGAUCUGUCUGCCUUGGCCUCCCAUCGUGCUGAGAUGACAGGCGUGAGCCACUGCACCCGGCCCAGGCUGUUUUCAAUUCCCCGUGUUCUGCUACCUUCCAGGUGGGGCGGGCUGGGAGGCCUCUUCUAGAGGGGCCCUCAGGCUGCUCCAAGCCCUGGAAUGCAGCCCUGGUGGCCUCAGAACACCCCAGCAGGCUGGACCCGUGCCUCUGCCCCAGGGUGUAGGGUCCGGGUGGCCUGGGGUCGUCCCCUUGGGAGCUGCAUGGGUGGCCGCUGCUACUCCUACCUGGGAGGACAUCCCGUGGCAGGGGUAGAGGAUCGCCCGGUCGCCGUCCUCCGCUCCCUGGUCCAGACAGUAGGCACUGGCUUUGCUGUUUCUCACCUGCAAGCAGAAGCCCCAGGAGAAAGUCCAGAGUCACCCGAGGGUGCGGCCCCAGGGAGCUUCACGCAGCCAGCUCUGCAGCCAGCACCUAAGGAGGAACCCUGACAGCCCUCUGAGAACAAGCCCGGGCCAGACUGCUGGGGGAUGUGUUGUCAUCGGGCAGCCAACCUCCAGCCUCCAGAACAGGCCCAUCGGAGAUCAGCACAGCCUGGAUCAGGCCAGCAGCACUGCCUGGGUGGCCCCGGCUCGUGAGCAAGUGUAGAUGCUUAUUGCUUUUGUCCACCGCGUCUCCAGGCUGCUGGGUUUGCAGCAGCAGCUGACCCAUCCACCACGGCCACCACGAGAGGUCACACAGGUACCACUUGAAGCUGCGACACUUCAGCCUCUGACGCAGGGCCAGCCUCUCAGACACGUCCCCGAAGUCCACCCCUGGGUUCUGCAAGGCCAGAAGUAGGUGAGAGGAGGGUCUGAGGCAGCUGCUCCUGAUGGGAAGGACCCUGCCAGAGGCCAGCCCCGGCCUGGACAGACGGCCCCUGCUGCAGCCGGCUCGUCCACACCCACCCGGGCCCAGGAACCUCCUGCCUGAGAAGACGGCCCUGCUCACCUGGCCUUACUGCACGGCAUCAGCCUGACCUCUGGAGGGUGGAGACUGAGGUCAGCCAUAUCCAGAGACCAGCCUGGUGAGGACCCUGGAUACUGAGGCUUGGGGGCUCCUGGCUGGCCCCGCCUGGCACGUGUUGUCACGCAUGGGUGCCGGAGAAUCAAGUCCUUGGGACCCCCCGCGGGGGGACACCUGAGAGCUUGUACCUGGCCUUUCCUGGUCCCUGCCCAGGCGUCUCUUCCCUCUGCUGACUUUGACCCGUGUCCUCUGCCGUGAGAACCCACAGCCGAGUGCGGUGUCUGUGUCUUCCUGGGACUGUGGGGCCUGAGAGGCUGUAGGGACCAGCACUCUCUGACGGACAGCCAGCCCUGAGGGAGCACCUGCACCCUGCCCAGGGACCCUCCAGGCUCAGGCCUUGUGGGGAGGGCAGACGACUUGGCCUUCACGGCCUGGGCUUGAAUCCCGUCACCUUCUGGCCUGAGUAGGACAGAAAGGCCGAGGCAGGGAGUGUUCACACACUCUGCUCGAUUCGGGCUGGGACGUGGGUCCUCCCCUGCCUUCAGGCUUGGAGCUCACGCCACCGGCUCUCCUGGGCGCCUGCCAGCCGACGGCCAAUCUCGGUACCCUCAGCCCCCGUAACCGGGUGAGUCAAUUCCUUAGAUGAACUUUCACAGCUAAGCCCACGUCCCCACCAUCUGCUAUUAAUCUGUUUCCCUGGAGAGCCCUGAGCCAGCCCCGUCCCAUCCUAUCCUACCCUAUCCUGUGCUGUCCCAUCCCAUCCACCCCAUUAAAAAAAGGCCGAUGCCACCCACGGGCUGACAUCACUAUGAACAAAUGGGUCUGAUCCACGUGGCCCAAGCUCCGCCGUGCUCAGGUCCUCAGCCCUGAGCCUGCCAUGCUGGACGAGUGUGCCAGGCCCAGGGCGGGCACUGUGCUUGCCUCAUCUCCUGAAUCCCCCCACCACCCGAGAAAGGGUGGGCAGCCCUGGCAUUGCCCCGUUCCCUCCGCGGUGCUGAGAAGGUGCCGAGGCCGAGGGUGGUGCCAACUGCAGGGGCGCACGGGGUGGAGCCUCUGCCCAGCUGAGCUCGGAUCCCUCAGUCAUCCCUGGACUCUGGUUCAUCCUCGUCCAGGCUGCUCUCAUCUCCAGGCCGUUAUCUUAAUCAUGUCUGCAAAGAUCCCUUUUCCCAAAGAGGGCCACACUCACACGUCCCCUAGCUGCAUCCUCCGGGGGUCGCCUGUCAGCCCAGCCC
rnacentral:lncRNA from 1 species